rnacentral:rRNA from 1 species
UACGUAGGGACCGAGCGUUGUCCGGAUUCAUUGGGCGUAAAGAGCUCGUAGGUGGCGUGUCGCGUCUGCCGUGAAAGCCCAUGGCUUAACUGUGGGUCUGCGGUGGAUACGGGCAGGCUGGAGGCUGGUAGGGGCAAGCGGAAUUCCUGGUGUAGCGGUGAAAUGCGCAGAUAUCAGGAGGAACACCGGUGGCGAAGGCGGCUUGCUGGGCCAGUUCUGACGCUGAGGAGCGAAAGCGUGGGGAGCGAACAGG